UACAGAGGGUGCGAGCGUUGUCCGGAAUCACUGGGCGUAAAGGGCGCGUAGGUGGCGCCGCAAGUCGGUGGUGAAAGCUCGAUGCUCAACAUCGAGUCGGCCAUCGAAACUGCGGGGCUGGAGCACUGUAGGGGCAGAUGGAAUUCCGGGUGUAGCGGUGGAAUGCGUAGAGAUCCGGAAGAACACCAGUGGCGAAGGCGGUCUGCUGGGGCAGUUGCUGACACUGAUGCGCGACAGC
rnacentral:rRNA from 1 species